AGGCGCAGCAACUGUUACUCGCUAUUUGCGGGAAGGAGAGUUCGGAGAGGGUGCGUUUGCUCCGGUGCAACUGUAGAAAUGCGACGGAGAGAGCCUGUCUCCUGUCCACCAACUAACGAACCUCGGUCUCUCUGCACUUACUGUGAUCCAGGCACUCUGCUAAAGAGUUUAUGUGUGUUAUUUAUCUUUACCCUAAUGAGCCUCUGCCUUCGUUGAGAAACCAAGCAAGAAAAUUGAGCCACAUGAUUAGAUCUUCCAUAUUGUUUGACAUUGAGUUAUAAGCCAAGGUAUCCUGUAGAAGCCUCUUGGGGGUUUUGAGAACACCAGUAAAUUUCACAGCUAGUCAGACCAAACGGCCGAACAACCGAAUGGCUUGGUAUGACGUGCGCUGACCACCAGGGGGUGCAGGCGGAACAUGGCAGGCAUCAGUAGCAGGAGGCAGAGCACAAAACAUGGAGGGUGUCAGCCGCAGCAUGAUGGUG